rnacentral:rRNA from 1 species
GACGAACGCGGCGGCGUGCCUAAUACAUGCAAGUAGAACGCACAGGAUGCACCGUAGUUUACUACACCGUAUUCUUGAGUUGCGAACGGGUGAGUAACGCGUAGGUAACCUGCCUGGUAGCGGGGGAUAACUAUUGGAAACGAUAGCUAAUACCGCAUAAGAACAUUUACUGCAUGGUAGAUGUUUAAAAGGUGCAAAUGCAUCACUACCAGAUGGACCUGCGUUGUAUUAGCUAGUAGGUGAGGUAACGGCUCACCUAGGCGACGAUACAUAGCCGACCUGAGAGGGUGAUCGGCCACACUGGGACUGAGACACGGCCCAGACUCCUACGGGAGGCAGCAGUAGGGAAUCUUCGGCAAUGGGGGGAACCCUGACCGAGCAACGCCGCGUGAGUGAAGAAGGUUUUCGGAUCGUAAAGCUCUGUUGUUAAGGAAGAAACGAGUUUGAGAAUGGAAAG